AGACACGGUCCAGACUCCUACGGGAGGCAGCAGUGGGGAAUAUUGCACAAUGGGCGCAAGCCUGAUGCAGCCAUGCCGCGUGUAUGAAGAAGGCCUUCGGGUUGUAAAGUACUUUCAGCGGGGAGGAAGGGAUGAGGUUUAAUACGCCUCGUCAUUGACGUUACCCGCAGAAGAAGCACCGGCUAACUCCGUGCCAGCAGCCGCGGUAAUACGGAGGGUGCAAGCGUUAAUCGGAAUUACUGGGCGUAAAGCGCACGCAGGCGGUCUGUUAAGUCAGAUGUGAAAUCCCCGGGCUCAACCCGGGAACUGCAUUUGAAACUGGCAGGCUUGAGUCUCGUAGAGGGGGGUAGAAUUCCAGGUGUAGCGGUGAAAUGCGUAGAGAUCUGGAGGAAUACCGGUGGCGAAGGCGGCCCCCUGGACGAAGACUGACGCUCAGGUGCGAAAGCGUGGGGAACCAAACAGGAUUAGAUACCCUGGUAGUCCACGCCGUAAAC
rnacentral:rRNA from 1 species